rnacentral:rRNA from 2 species
UUAGGUUAAGUUAUGAAGGGCGCAUGGUGAAUGCCUUGGUACUAGGAGCCGAUGAAGGACGGGACUAACACCGAUAUGCUUCGGGGAGCGGUAAGUACGCUUUGAUCCGGAGAUUUCCAAAUGGGGCAACCCAAUCAGCUUAGUCGCUGAUUACUUGACUAGUGAAUACAUAGCUAGCAAGAGGUAGACGCAGUGAACUGAAACAUCUUAGUAGCUGCAGGAGGAGAAAGAAACAUCGAUUCCCUGAGUAGCGGCGAGCGAAAAGGGAAGAGCCCAAACCAACAAGCUUGCUUGUUGGGGUUGUAGGACUGAACAUUAGAGUUACCAAAGUGCGACGUAGUCGCAACAGUUGGGAAGCUGUGCCAUAGAGGGUGAAAGCCCCGUAGACGAAACGUCACACUCUCUGUUCAGGAUCCUGAGUACGGCGGGACACGUGAAACCCCGUCGGAACCCGCGAGGACCAUCUCGCAAGGCUAAAUACUCCCUAGUGACCGAUAGUGAACCAGUACCGUGAGGGAAAGGUGAAAAGCACCCCGGAAGGGGAGUGAAAUAGUUCCUGAAACCAUGUGCCUACAAGCUGUCGGAGCCCGUUAAUGGGUGACGGCGUGCCUCUUGCAGAAUGAACCGGCGAGUUACGAUUGCAUGCAAGGUUAAGGUGGAAAAACCGGAGCCGUAGCGAAAGCGAGUCUUAAAUGGGCGUAAGAAGUAUGUAGUUGUAGACCCGAAACCAGGUGACCUACCCAUGUCCAGGUUGAAGGU